AACGAACGCUGGCGGCAUGCCUAACACAUGCAAGUCGAACGCCCUCUUCGGAGGGAGUGGCGCACGGGUGCGUAACGCGUGGGAACCUGCCCUUAGGUUCGGAAUAACUCAGAGAAAUUUGAGCUAAUACCGGAUAAUGUCUUCGGACCAAAGAUUUAUCGCCUUUGGAUGGGCCCGCGUUGGAUUAGCUAGUUGGUGGGGUAAAGGCCUACCAAGGCGACGAUCCAUAGCUGGUCUGAGAGGAUGAUCAGCCACACUGGGACUGAGACACGGCCCAGACUCCUACGGGAGGCAGCAGUGGGGAAUAUUGGACAAUGGGCGAAAGCCUGAUCCAGCAAUGCCGCGUGAGUGAUGAAGGCCUUAGGGUUGUAAAGCUCUUUUACUGGGGAUGAUAAUGACAGUACCCGGAGAAUUAAGCUCCGGCUAACUCCGUGCCAGCAGCCGCGGUAAU
rnacentral:rRNA from 1 species